rnacentral:rRNA from 1 species
AGACCCGAAACCCGGUGAUCUAGCCAUGGGCAGGUUGAAGGUUGGGUAACACUAACUGGAGGACCGAACCGACUAAUGUUGAAAAAUUAGCGGAUGACCUGUGGCUGGGGGUGAAAGGCCAAUCAAACCGGGAGAUAGCUGGUUCUCCCCGAAAGCUAUUUAGGUAGCGCCUCGUGAAUUCAUCUCCGGGGGUAGAGCACUGUUUCGGCUAGGGGGCCAUCCCGGCUUACCAACCCGAUGCAAACUGCGAAUACCGGAGAAUGUUAUCACGGGAGACACACGGCGGGUGCUAACGUCCGUCGUGAAGAGGGAAACAACCCAGACCGCCAGCUAAGGUCCCAAAGUCAUGGUUAAGUGGGAAACGAUGUGGGAAGGCCCAGACAGCCAGGAUGUUGGCUUAGAAGCAGCCAUCAUUUAAAGAAAGCGUAAUAGCUCACUGGUCGAGUCGGCCUGCGCGGAAGAUGUAACGGGGCUAAACCAUGCACCGAAGCUGCGGCAGCGACACUCAGGUGUUGUUGGGUAGGGGAGCGUUCUGUAAGCCUGCGAAGGUGGCCUGUGAGGGUUGCUGGAGGUAUCAGAAGUGCGAAUGCUGACAUAAGUAACGAUAAAGCGGGUGAAAAGCCCGCUCGCCGGAAGACUAAGGGUUCCUGUCCAACGUUAAUCGGGGCAGGGUGAGUCGACCCCUAAGGCGAGGCCGAAAGGCGUAGUCGAUGGGAAACGGGUUAAUAUUCCCGUACUUGGUGUUACUGCGAAGGGGGGACGGAGAAGGCUAUGUUGGCCGGGCGACGGUUGUCCCGGUUUAAGCGUGUAGGUGUGUGUUCCAGGUAAAUCCGGUUCACUUUAACACUGAGGCGUGA